AUUGCCUACAUAUAUAAGGGCUAGUGUAAGAUCUGGACUCAUUGCAUUAACUUUUCAAAAUUGUCAUGUAUAUAGUAAAUGGAGUUCGGGUAAUUCGUGGACUAAUUUUAGACAUUUUCGGAACUCGGCUGUACUAUAUCCAAUAAUAUACGUUCAUUCAAUUUUGCUAAAACGAUGAUGUCACCGAAGUUUGAAAUUCAUUUUUUAUGUAUUAUAUAUAGACCGUAACAAGAACAUGUUAGAAAAGCGUGAAGGGAUUUCUCAUAGAAGAGAUCAUGGCGACUUCACUUGUGCUACAGAAGGAGGAGAAAGAACACAUUCAGUACUCUGUGGGUCGAAAAUUGGGAGCUAAAGGUAGAUGCGUGAAUGAGGGGCUAAAUAUGAAACCACAUACUCCGACUAAAGAAAGGAAAAUACAAUUUUUAAGUAAAUAAAUGGUUAAUUUGUAUAUUUUAAGUGAAUUUGUGUAAUGAUAUAUAAUUAUAUAUAAUACAUCAAUUUAUACAUUCAACUAGUUAAAGAAAUAGUAACACUCCGUAAACGUGUCAGUAAA